ACCUCCGAUUCUCCCACUUCUUCUAGGCUUAGUUCAGUCGUUCAAACUGCCAUUUAUCCGUCUAUUCAGUUCAUUGGUCAUUGGGCUUGAGAGGGAAGGAGAACGGUAGUCCUGCGCCAUGGGCGAUUCUAGGGUUUUCUCCGGUUUCAACUCCGCAGCGACACGUUCCGGCGCGGGUACCGUCACUAGGAUCCGAUUAGAGAACUUCAUGUGCCAUAGCAACCUCCAAAUCGAGCUCUGCCCUUGGCUUAAUUUUAUUACCGGUCAAAAUGGGAGCGGCAAAAGUGCAAUACUGACUGCUUUGUGUAUUGCAUUCGGAAGCCGAGCGAAAGGGACUCAGAGGGCAUCUACGUUGAAGGAUUUUAUCAAAACUGGUUGCAGUUAUGCUGUUGUUGAAGUGGAAGUGAAAAAUCAAGGAGAGGAUGCUUUUAAGCCUGAAGUCUAUGGUGAUGCCAUUAUUAUAGAGCGCAGAAUUAAUCAAUCUACUAGCUCCACAGUUCUAAAGGAUUUCCAAGGUAAAAAGGUUGCUAGUCGAAAAGAGGAACUUCGGGAGCUCACUGAACAUUUUAAUAUUGAUGUGGAGAAUCCUUGUGUGAUAAUGAGUCAAGACAAAAGCAGAGAGUUUUUGCAUUCUGGUAAUGACAAAGAUAAAUUCAAGUUCUUUUUCAAGGCAACUCUUCUUCAGCAAGUUAAUGAUCUGUUACAAAGUAUAUAUGAACAACUAAGGUCUGCAAAUGCACUUGUGGAUGAAUUGGAGGCUACAAUAAAGCCUAUAGAGAAGGAACUCAAUGAGUUGCAAGUGAAAAUAAAAAACAUGGAACAUAUAGAAGAAAUAUCUCAGCAGGUACAGCAAUUAAAAAAGAAGCUUGCUUGGUCAUGGGUUUAUUAUGUUGAUAAGCAACUUGAAGAUCAAAGUAUGAAGAUUAGCAAGCUUAAAGAUCGAAUACCUGCUUGCCAAGACAAAAUUGAGCAGAAAUUGGUAAAGGUGGAGUCAUUGAGGGACCUCUUCACAAAAAAGAAGGCACAAAUAGCACACAUGAUGCAGAAGACAUCAGAAGUGAGGAGAAAGCAGGAUGAUUUGCGACAUUCUCUCUCUUUGGCAACAAAACAUAAGCUCGAGUUAGAAGAGCAGCAUGGCCGUGAAACUAAGCGCAUUCAGAACAUGCUGAAGCGUUCAAGCUCACUUCAGCAAGAAGUCCAGGCUAUUCAGGAGCAACAUGUUAAAAAUACACAGGCUGAAGAAUCUGAAAUAGAGGAGAAGUUAAAGGAACUCCAAUGCAUGGUUGAUGAUGCUCAUUCCACACUUUUAAGGUUAAAGGAAGAAGAAAGGGUCUUAUCAGAAAGUGUGUCUGAGGGAAUGAAUGAAAUGAGAAAGAUAAAUGAAGAGAUCCUAAAUUAUGAAAAAGAGGAACGAGAGAUCCGUGGAACCAUUCAGCAGUUCCGACAGCACAAAACUAACAAGGUUACAGCAUUUGGAGGAGAUAAGGUGAUUCAUCUUCUGCAUAUUAUUGAAAGAUGUCACCAAAAGUUCACUAAGUCGCCUAUUGGUCCAAUUGGUGCCCACCUGACACUGGUCAAUGGUGAUACAUGGGCUCCUGCCGUUGAAAAUGCCAUUGGGAGGUUGCUCAAUGCUUUUAUUGUAACAAACCAUAGGGAUAUGAAUCUUUUGAGAGAUUGUGCAAGAGAAGCAAAAUAUAGUAACCUUCAAAUUAUCAUAUAUGACUUCUCAAGACCAAGGUUGAAUAUACCACCUAGCAUGCUUCCUCAAACAAAUAACCCAACCGCAUUUUCUGUUGUGCAUUCUGAAAAUGAUACCGUGCUAAAUGUUUUGGUGGAUAUGGGGAGUGCAGAGAGGCUAGUGCUUGUAGAAAAUUACAAUGUGGGAAAAGCUGUUGCUUUUGACCAGAAGAUCCCACAUCUAAAGGAAGUUUACACCUUAGAUGGAUAUAAAAUGUUUGCCCGUGGGUCAGUCCAGACUGUACUUCCUCCUAAUAAAAAUUUUAGAACAGGCCGUCUUUGUAGCUCUUAUGAUCAUCAAAUUAAGAAUCUUGAACAACGAAUGUCAGAUUUUAAAAUGAGUGCUGAAGAAUGCAGGAAAAGGAAAAGGGCUAUGGAGGCAAAUCUUCAGGAUGCUCAAGGUGAUCUGAAGAAACUAAAGGAGAGAUGCUUGGUUGCUGAGCGGGUUGUAGCCACUAAGACACUAGAACUAAAAGAUUUGAAGAAGUCUUAUUCUACUGAAACUAGUCCACCAGCUGCUUCAACUGUUGAUGAGCUUCAUCAAGAAAUUUCAAAACUCCAAGAGGAGAUACAAGAAAGAAAAUCAUUUCUGGAAAAGCUUCGAGUCAAAAGGGAUGAAGCUGAGGCAAAGGCUCUAGACCUCAAAUUAUCAUUUGAGAAUUUAUGUGAGUCAGCAAAAGGAGAUCUCGAUGCCUUUGAAGAAGCAGAGGGUGAGCUAAUGAAGAUUGAAAAAGAUCUACAAGAUGCAGAAGCGGAGAAGGCUCAUUAUGAAAAUAUAAUGACUAACAAGGUCCUUCCUGAUAUCAAAGUGGCAGAAGCACAUUAUCAAGAACUUGAGGAGCAGCGUAAGGAGAGUUCCAAAAAGGCUUCUAUUAUCUGUCCCGAGACUGAUAUUGAAGCUUUAGGAGGUUGGGAUGGAAGCACCCCAGAACAACUCAGUGCCAAAUUAAAUAGAUUGAGUCAGAGGCUUCAGCAUGAGAGCCAGUGGUGUUCUGACUCUAUUGAUGACCUGAGAAUGUUAUAUGAGAAAAAACAGCGUAAAAUCUUAAGAAAACAACAAUUGUACCAAGGGUUUCGAGAAAAGUUGAAGGCUUGUCAGGAAGCCCUAGAUUUGCGACAGAACAAGUUUCAAAGGAACAGUGCUCUUCUGAAGCGGCAGCUAACUUGGAAUUUUAAUGGUCACUUAGGUAAGAAAGGGAUUAGCGGGAGUAUCGUAGUUAAUUAUGAAGAAAAAACCCUUAGAGUAGAGGUAAAGAUGCCCCAAGAUGCAUCAAGCAGCACUGUCCGUGACACUAGAGGGCUUUCAGGUGGUGAACGCUCUUUUUCAACGCUGUGCUUUGCAUUAGCUCUUCAUGAGAUGACAGAAGCCCCAUUCCGAGCAAUGGAUGAGUUUGAUGUAUUUAUGGAUGCAGUUAGCCGGAAGAUAAGCUUAGACACUUUAGUGGACUUUGCAUUGGCACAAGGAUCCCAAUGGAUAUUUAUCACACCUCAUGACAUCAGUAUGGUAAAACAUGGGGAGAGGAUAAAGAAGCAGCAACUAGCAGCUCCUCGUUCUUGAUUAUAGCAGUGCAAGAUCUUCUUAAGAAUUGUUCAAUUUAAAAUGCUGUUCUUAUUUUUGCUCCGAUGGAGAAGGCAACUGGGAUUUACUGAGCAGGCGUAUUAAGUGCCAUUUGUUCCCCAGUCCAUAACUCUGGUUCGGUUGUAUGGUAGAUGGAAACAGAACCUAGGCAGCAAUUAUAGGAUUCCCAGCUCAUCAUAGUUGUUUCUUCAUUUGGUGCCUGCUUGUGGAUCUCAUUAUCUCCCAUAAGUUAUGGGUCAAACUGUUAUCAAAGAGAUUUGCCUGCUGGAGACACCAUCUGAUUAGUUUUAUUUAUUUAUUUAUUUAUUUUUUUCAUGUUGAUGUUGGAGGGUAGUUGAGCAGACGUCAUUUAUAUCCUUGUGCACCUGUAUGGAUUCAUUUAAAAAUUAAUUUUAUCCUAAAGACGUGAG